UCACGAUCUCAAAUCCCCAAUCCCUAACCUAACACUCCCUCUCACUCUCCUCUCUCUUUUAUAUCUUUCGCCUCCUACGUCGUCGGCUCUGGUGCCGCCACCCGCGACCACCACUGCCGCUGCCACACCUCCUCCCUCACCGCCCUCUCUCUUUUCUCCUAUUCUUUUCACUGGUCGUCUACUUCGUCUUCUCCACUCUUGUCGUCGGAUCCAAAACCCUAACCCUACCUUCGAUCUUCUCCAAUCCCUCCACAAGCCAUAUGUUCAAAUCCAGACCCUACACUCUCCUCAACUGUUUCAGAACCUUUGUCUACAAAGGACUAUCGUCGGACUCGUCAGAACAGCGAUCUCGAACGGGCUGAUUGCGAUGAGAAAGACCAAGCGGAGACGCACAUUAACGCGUUAGAAAUGAAAUCAGAAGAUGGACAGUUCAUCUUUGCCCUAAUUUUUCUCUCAAUUUCUGCUCAAAUCAACAUUGAAGAGGUUAUUACAAAAUUCGCUCAACUGGCACAAUAAGAAGGACAAAAAGGAACUUGGAGAGCCUUGAAGCACCGAAGAAAACCUUUAAGAAGUUGGACCAUGAUGUAAAUAUACAAGACUUUUUGGGUUCAAGCACUCAAUCAAUUGAGGAAUUAUCCAACCAAUUGAGGAUGAUGCGAGCUCAACUUACAGAAGCACACAGGAGACUGAGGUCUUUUUGCAGGUGAGGUCUGCUACCCUGGACACAUGGCUUCCUGAACAGGUUGCAUUUAUUCAAUGUAAGCUUGCCUUCAAGUAUCCCGGUUCAAUUUUUUUUUUUUUUUGCUUGAUUUUGUUCCAAUGCUAUAAAAAGAGAAUUUGAAUUUGGUUUUUCUUCCCUCUAUACAGCUAUGGGAAAUGAGAAGUCAAAUAGUUAUUGGGAAGCUGAGUUACCCCCUAAUUACGGCAGAGUUGGGAUUGAGAAUUUCAUACGCACAAAGCAUGCAUUUCUUUACUUUUAUUAACUAUUCUCCUUUGUAAAGCACAGUGCACCAUUGUUGUCUGGUUCGUCAAUUUCUCGUAGUCUUAAGUAUACAUAUUUUUUAUAUUUUAAAGGUAUGAAGAGAAGAGAUGGGUUCCUAAGGAUGGCAAGCCAAUGUCACCUUCUAGAGUAAUAGAAGAAAAGGCUUUUAUGCAAUGGCAGAGACCUAGUGAUAGGAGUGGUCAUGGAUAUGCUAACAAUUCUCAUUUUAAUAUUGAGAGGGGUUGGGAUCAUAAUUUCAAGUAUGAAAAGAAAAAAAAAACAAAAUAAAUACAUAAUAAAUGGUUGUCUUACUAAUGUAAUUGGAUAACUAAUCAUACACUAACUCAUGGGAUUAUUAAUCAUUUCACUAGUAAUCUUAUUAAUCAAACAAGGCCUAAGAUUAAUAUCUAUUUAUACUCACUAUAUAGAAAUAAAAUUAUAUCGGAAGAAAUAAUUUUAAUAUAAAUAGAAUUCCAGUCAAUGAAGUUUGAAACGAAACAUGCCUACAGUAAACAAACGAAAUUAGCCAGUUUGAUAAAAAUGAAUUCUUGUGGCUCAUAAGCAAC